AGAUCUCUCACCGCCGGAUGCACCUCCUCCAGCCUCUCGCCCGCUCCCUCCACCAUAUUCACUGGGUGUCGACCAAGAACGGUCGCCUACAAAUGUUGUCGUCAACCUUCUCACUACCUCCGGAGGAUGGUCGCCGUCAACGUGCCCGCCGCUGCCGUCACUUGACCGCCACCGCAUCCUUAUCCAGGUGCCGCGCCUUCCAGAUCCAGGUGCUGUUUUCGUAUUCCCUUCUUUACGAUUUCUUUUCUUUUCUUGAUAACUUUCAUACGUGCGUACCUCCGGUAGGAUUCAGCAGAAACUACAAGCAUUUUGGCAUCCCUCAUGUGCUGGGUACUGGUGGAAGCAAUGGCUCUACACACAUUUGUUUUGAAUAGGCCAAGCCGUCAAGGUAGUUGACUUCUCUGCAAGAGAUUGUAUUAGAACUAGAGCCACAACUGCAUUUAGAAAGGUUGUGAGAGAUCUUUUUCUUUCAUCUUCCAGGUUUACAAGACUUCUCAGAAACAUCACUUCUUACGACGAAGAAAGCAGAGUUAAGCUAUUGACAUUUGACAGUCAAGGUAAUGGAUAGUACGGCAUGCUUGUUAUCAUUUAAUAUUUCACCAAUUUCCGAAAAUAUAGGCUAUGCAUGUCUUGUUUUCUUGUCCUGUAUCAUGCCUUACAAUAUUUGGAUGUUGUGUAUUAACAUGUAAAUGGAAUUUGUAAUUAUUGAGUAAGCUGUAAUUACUGUAAACCAUCUUUUGUCUUGCAUUGCGACACCUAGUGCAUCUGAUUUUUAAUUGUGCUUUCGCCCUUGUUCCAAAGUUUAUCAUGAGUAAUUUUAUGUCAUGGUUUCUCCUAUAUAUUACAGUACCACUAGUAUGCUCAAGAUCAUCUGGUAUGUUUUGAGCCAAUAACUACUAUGUUUGUUCAGUCUGAAUGUUACUCUGCAUUCUAUUUUCUUCUUAUGAUUUACAGUAACAGUUUGCUCUCUAACUUGUUUAUCCAUCCCUUUUGAUUUUAGUCUCUUUCAUUAUGUUAGGAUUUAGGACGAAUUAGAAAACAUCAUCAGUGCAAAAUAGAGGUUAAAGCAGGAGGUUGAGGUGGGCACUCCAUGCCAACAAAUUGAAUAAUAUUCUUCCAAAUGAAGUGGUACUAUUCCCCUCCAUAUUUU
rnacentral:lncRNA from 1 species